rnacentral:rRNA from 1 species
AGGUAACCUGCCUGGUAGCGGGGGAUAACUAUUGGAAACGAUAGCUAAUACCGCAUAACAGUAGAUGUUGCAUGACAUCUGCUUGAAAGGGGCAAUUGCUCCACUACCAGAUGGACCUGCGUUGUAUUAGCUAGUUGGUGAGGUAACGGCUCACCAAGGCGACGAUACAUAGCCGACCUGAGAGGGUGAUCGGCCACACUGGGACUGAGACACGGCCCAGACUCCUACGGGAGGCAGCAUG